rnacentral:tRNA from 1 species
GUGGUGGUUUAGUGGUAGAAUUCUUGCCUUUCAUGCGGGAAACCUGGGUUCGAUUCCCAGCUGGUACA